AUUGAACGCUGGCGGCAGGCCUAACACAUGCAAGUCGAGCGGAGCGGCGGACGGGCGAGUAAUGCCUAGGUAUCUGCCUGGCAGUGGGGGAUAACGUCCGGAAACGGGCGCUAAUACCGCACACUAUCAGUUAAGUCUAGGUCGGAUUAGCUAGUUGGUGGGGUAAAGGCCUACCAAGGCGACGAUCCGUAACUGGUCUGAGAGGAUGAUCAGUCACACUGGAACUGAGACACGGUCCAGACUCCUACGGGAGGCAGCAGUGGGGAAUAUUGGACAAUGGGCGAAAGCCUGAUCCAGCCAUGCCGCGUGUGUGAAGAAGGUCUUCGGAUUGUAAAGCACUUUAAGUUGGGAGGCGUUACCAACAGAAUAAGCACCGGCUAACUUCGUGCCAGCAGCCGCGGUAAUUC
rnacentral:rRNA from 1 species